UACAGAGGUCUCAAGCGUUGUUCGGAUUCAUUGGGCGUAAAGGGUGCGUAGGCGGCGCGGUAAGUCGGAAGUGAAAUCCCACGGCUCAACCAUGGAAGUGCUUUCGAAACUGCUGAGCUUGAGUACUUAAGAGGAUCGCGGAAUUCCCGGUGUAGAGGUGAAAUUCGUAGAUAUCGGGAGGAACACCAGUGGCGAAGGCGGCGAUCUGGGAAGAUACUGACGCUGAGGUGCGAAAGCGUGGGGAGCAAACAGG
rnacentral:rRNA from 1 species